CCUACGGGUGGCAGCAGUGGGGAAUAUUGGACAAUGGGCGAAAGCCUGAUCCAGCCAUGCCGCGUGUGUGAAGAAGGCCUUCGGGUUGUAAAGCACUUUCAGUGGGGAAGAAAGCCUUGGGGCUAAUACCCUCCAGGAAGGACAUCACCCACAGAAGAAGCACCGGCUAACUCCGUGCCAGCAGCCGCGGUAAUACGGAGGGUGCGAGCGUUAAUCGGAAUUACUGGGCGUAAAGCGCGCGUAGGCGGUCUGAUAAGCCGGUUGUGAAAGCCCCGGGCUCAACCUGGGAACGGCAUCCGGAACUGUCAGGCUAGAGUGCAGGAGAGGAAGGUAGAAUUCCCGGUGUAGCGGUGAAAUGCGUAGAGAUGGGGAGGAAUACCGAUGGCGAAGGCGGCCUUCUGGACUGACACUGACGCUGAGGUGCGAAAGCGUGGGUAGCAAACAGGAUUAGAUACCCGUGUAGUC
rnacentral:rRNA from 1 species